AACGUACUCUCUCCGUUCGAAAAUACUUGUUAUCAAACUGGAUAAAAAAGAGAUGUAUCUAGAACUAAAAUACGUCUAGAUACAUCCCUUUUUAUUCAUUUUGAUGGCAAGUAUUUUCGCACGAAGGGAAUAGUGU
rfam:Triticum aestivum genome assembly, contig: Triticum_aestivum_CS42_TGACv1_scaffold_273684_3DS